rnacentral:lncRNA from 1 species
GCGAAGGCCGACCAUGAGCGCUAUCAGCUGCGCCAGGUGAGCCCCUCUAGGGCAAAGGAACUGGUACAAAAGGUCCAGGAAAUGUAUGAGAAGUACGUAAGGCGUGCCCAGCGUAAGGGCAUAACACCGCCGUCGCGCAUGUUUGACAAAGUCAGACAAUUCUGCGACGAGCAAGGCUAUCGCUCCGCACUAGGCUUCCUAAUGGAAGCUAAUGAGGAACUCUCCUAUGUGCAGAAAAGCCGCGAACUGCGGGAGCGUUUUAGCCACUGCGGCGCAUGACGCCGACAACAACGCCAAUGGAGCGCACGACCCAACAGGUCCCGGACCCUCGCGCCCACGUACUGCGCAGCCAACUGCUGCCGCCGCGGAAGCCGGCCAGGGUAACUGGGCCCACCGCCGCGCUCAAGGCGCAACGCGGCACACGGCAGGGUGAGUUGCGCAAAGAGUGUGAGCGUAACGACAUCACUGCGGCUAACCUCGUCCCGCCUGAGGGAGGGUUGCCACCACUUCCCACCCACACCGCCCAAUUGGCGCAAUAUCACCAUGUCUAUUGGUGCUUAGGUCCCCGCAACAAAAUGUUGCACAUAUUAUCACGCGAACUGACGCUAUGGACCACACGGUACACCCAACAGGUGCAGCCCCACGCGACGACGACUAUAAUAAACGGGUGCUGGAAAAAAAAAAACUCGAACAAAUGUCGAGGAGAAUAGAAGGCAUAGAGGCGCACAUCCAGGCCCAAGCCGCCACACCGCGCCCGCCUCCUCCUCCGACCGCACCCAUCAUAACAGCGGAAAAAGGCCUCAAUGCGCAGCCGGCACAGGCCAAUGACCAGGCACCACAACCAGUGCCUGGGGGAUGGAUGAACAGAUACGGGGACACGUAUAUUUGUUGUGGAAAGAGCGUAGGGCGUUGCUGCUGUGUUGCACUGUACAACAUGUACCGUUCUAGACAUGUACGGUAUUACCGUACGGCAUAUGCAUUAACUCAUACAUAU